GCACAAGCGGUGGAGCAUGUGGUUUAAUUCGAUGCAACGCGAAGAACCUUACCUGGCCUUGACAUCUACGGAAUUCUUCAGAGAUGAAGAAGUGCCUUCGGGAACCGUAAGACAGGUGCUGCAUGGCUGUCGUCAGCUCGUGUCGUGAGAUGUUGGGUUAAGUCCCGCAACGAGCGCAACCCUUGUCCUUAGUUGCCAUCAUUCAGUUGGGAACUCUAAGGAGACCGCCGGUGACAAACCGGAGGAAGGUGGGGAUGACGUCAAGUCAUCAUGGCCUUUAUGGCCAGGGCUACACACGUGCUACAAUGGCAGGUACAGAGGGAAGCCAACGCGCGAGCGGGAGCCAAUCCCAGAAAGCCUGUCGUAGUCCGGAUCGGAGUCUGCAACUCGACUCCGUGAAGUCGGAAUCGCUAGUAAUCGCAGAUCAGCAUUGCUGCGGUGAAUACGUUCCCGGGC
rnacentral:rRNA from 1 species